rnacentral:rRNA from 1 species
UACGGAGGAUGCAAGCGUUAUCCGGAAUGAUUGGGCGUAAAGCGUCCGCAGGUGGCAAUGCAAGUCUGCUGUCAAAGCGUCUGGCUCAACCAGAUAAAGGCAGUGGAAACUACAUAACUAGAGUAAGGUAGGGGUAGAGGGAAUUCCUGGUGUAGCGGUGAAAUGCGUAGAGAUCAGGAAGAACACCGGUGGCGAAAGCGCUCUGCUGGACCUUAACUGACGCUGGGGCGCGAAAGCGUGGGGAGCAAACAGG